rnacentral:rRNA from 1 species
UACGUAGGGAGCAAGCGUUGUCCGGAAUCAUUGGGCGUAAAGCGCGCGUAGGCGGCCUCAUAAGUCCGCUGUGAAAGUCAAAGGCUCAACCUUUGAAAGCCGGUGGAUACUGUGGGGCUAGAGUACGGAAGAGGCGAGUGGAAUUCCUGGUGUAGCGGUGGAAUGCGCAGAUAUCAGGAGGAACACCAAUAGCGAAGGCAGCUCGCUGGGACGUUACUGACACUGAGGCGCGAAAGCGUGGGGAGCGAACAGG